GACGAACGCUGGCGGCGUGCCUAAUACAUGCAAGUUGAGCGAUGAAGAUUGGUGCUUGCACCAAUUUGAAGAGCAGCGAACGGGUGAGUAACGCGUGGGGAAUCUGCCUUUGAGCGGGGGACAACAUUUGGAAACGAAUGCUAAUACCGCAUAACAACUUUAAACAUAAGUUUUAAGUUUCAAAGAUGCAAUUGCAUCACUCAAAGAUGAUCCCGCGUUGUAUUAGCUAGUUGGUGAGGUAAAGGCUCACCAAGGCGAUGAUACAUAGCCGACCUGAGAGGGUGAUCGGCCACAUUGGGACUGAGACACGGCCCAAACUCCUACGGGAGGCAGCAGUAGGGAAUCUUCGGCAAUGGACGAAAGUCUGACCGAGCAACGCCGCGGGAGUGAAGAAGGUUUUCGGAUCGUAAAACUCUGUUGGUAGAGAAGAACGUUGGUGAGAGUGGAAAGCUCAUCAAGUGACGGUAACUACCCAGAAAGGGACGGCUAACUACGUG
rnacentral:rRNA from 1 species